CGAGUACCCGUGGCCUAAUGGAUAAGGAAUCUAACUUCUAAUCAGGGGAUUGCGGAUACGAGACCCACCGGGUGUGC